rnacentral:sRNA from 1 species
GAAAUUUAAAUUAUUAACAAUAAGUAGAUAUAUUAAAACUAGGGGUGUCAAAAUGGGUCAAAAUUCAUGGGUUAACUCAACUCAACUCAACUCAUGAACCCUAAUGAGUUGAAAAUUUUGACUCAAAUGAGUUGAUGGGUCAAAUGAGUUAUUGGGUCAAUUGC